rnacentral:lncRNA from 1 species
CAUUUCUUCAUCUAUAAAGUAAUUAUAAUACCAAUCUCACCAGGUUGUUAUGAAGAUUAAAUAGUUUAAUACACAUGAAAACAAUGUAUAAACCAUUGGUACAAGGCAAGUAUUAAGACUAUUACAAUAGAAAUAAACAGAGUGAGAUAAUGGGAUUAUUAUAUACUUAAGACCUGAGCUUUACAGAACUGAUCCCAAUGGGAAGCAGGUCCUCAUUUUGAGUCCCACUUUUUCUAAAUGAUUAUUUAAUAAGCAUGCUUCUCCCUGAUCUCAGAAUGUGUAUAUAUCUUUCCCACUGCCUAUCUUGGCACUGUGCACAUGUAACAAUGUUAACGUCUUCUGCCUAACUCUUACUCAUCCCUGAAGACCCAAUUCAGGGGCUGCUUCCUCCCAGAAUUUCCUGAUGUUCUGCCUGAAUUCUCCCAACUCCCACACUGUGACUAAGUUGGAUCUUUCUCAUCUGUAAUCAGAAAACUGUUUUGCCUGUUUCUUUGCUUAAUCAUCAGGACUGGACCAUGAACUCUUUGAGAAUUGUGGCUUUCCUCUGAUUAUCAUCUGAACCUAGAACAGUGUCUGAUACAAAGAAUUCAGCAUCAAGUGAAUAGAGAAGAUUCUAUGGAUGUAGAAGAGGUCCCUGGGUUUCCGAAUUGCCACUGGAUUGCCUCUAUCAAAUACACAAGAGUUUCAUGAGUGAGAAAUAACCUUCUGUUGCUUUAAAUCUUGGGUUGUGCAAUACAUCAGUGAGCCUACCAUGACUAAUACAUUCUAUGGAUGCAGAUUUCUCUUCUCUGGCCAUUGACAUGAGUGUGCUUUCUGGAUGCAGUCACAGGGGACCCAAGAUUCUUGGACAGAAUUCUCGCCGGGAGCCAACUCAGCCUGAUCUGCUGGCAUCUCUCAAGUAUCAGAAGUCAACAAAAUGGUUUGCCUUGAAGACUUGGCCAGAGCAGCAGCCAAAGUUCAUAAGGCUUUCGUAGAGAGAUUGUUUGUCUAAGAAAACAAAAUUCUAAGGGCUCCCAUUGUGCAGCUGGGGUGGCAAAAUGCAAACUAAUAUAAGGAAAAAAAAUGCUUUUCAUUUCCAUGGAAGAAAUGACCCAUCCUAUUGUUGAUAUUUCCUUUUCUGUGCUAACUUAUUCCAUUAAUUAGGCUCUCGUUUUAUGAGAUAAUUUCACUGCAUGCGUAUCUUCUUUUGGUUAUUACACAAGGACUGUUUUCUAUGGUUCAUAUCUAAGUCCAACCCUGGAAAAAUCUUUUUUUUUGAGACAGCCUUUUUUGUUUUGUUUUGAGACAAUACUCCCUCUGUUGCCCAGGCUG